UUAGUCCCAGGAUCAAGGUCUGGAGAGUGGGUAAUUUCUGCCAGUUUUGAAACCGGGAGGGAAAGCAAGCCUGGCAGAGGUACCCAUUCCAUUCCCCGCUUGCUUAGUCGCUGGUGAUUGGAAGACACUCUACAACGUUA